CGGCGGGACGAGCGGGUGGUAUGGCAAGUGCCCGACCGACGCGCUGAAGCUGCACGUGUGCGCCAAUGUGCUGGAUCUGAUCAAGGCGAAGGUGGGCGUGCCUCCGUUGAAUGACCGGUGCUGCCCGCUGCUCAACGGGCUCGUCGACCUGGACGCCGCGAUCUGCCUCUGCACCGCCAUCAAGGCCGACGUGCUAGGCAUCCACAUCAACCUCCCCAUCCACCUCAGCCUCAUCCUCAACUUCUGCGGCAAGGGCGUCCCGACCGGCUUCAUGUGCCCGACCUAAUCCCAGUGAUAGCAUUGAGUUCGUCGUAUGAUCUCCCACAAAGAAAAGGGGAUGCGAGAGGUCACGUCCAUGC
rnacentral:lncRNA from 1 species